rnacentral:tRNA from 1 species
GUCUUCGUGGUGUAGUGGUCAACACACUCGGCGGGUAUUCGAGAGGUCCGUGUUUCGAGUCCCGUCGAGGGCA